rnacentral:rRNA from 1 species
CCAGACUCCUACGGGAGGCAGCAGUAGGGAAUUUUCGUCAAUGGGGGGAACCCUGAACGAGCAAUGCCGCGUGAGUGAAGAAGGCCUUCGGGUCGUAAAGCUCUGUUGUAAGAGAAAAACGAUGGAUAGAGGGAAUGCUAUGCAAGUGAUGGUAUCUUACGAGAAAGCCACGGCUAACUACGUGCCAGCAGCCGCGGUAAUACGUAGGUGGCGAGCGUUAUCCGGAAUGAUUGGGCGUAAAGGGUGCGCAGGCGGAAUAACAAGUCUGAAGUAAAAGGCAUUGGCUUAACCAAUGUAUGCUAUGGAAACUGUUAAGCUAGAGUGCAGGAGAGGGCAGUGGAAUUCCAUGUGUAGCGGUAAAAUGCGUAGAUAUAUGGAGGAACACCGGUGGCGAAGGCGGCUGCCUGGCCUGUAACUGACGCUGAGGCACGAAAGCGUGGGGAGCAAAUAGGAUUAGAUACCCCUGUG